GCAGCUCAGGAGCAGAGCAUGUGCUCUGCAUGCAGAAGGACCCAGGUUCAACCCCUGGCAUCUCCA